rnacentral:lncRNA from 1 species
GUCCCGCUCACAGCACACGGCGGGCGAGGGGCUGCCCGCCUCCUCUCCCGCCUCCCCCACGCCUCCCGCCGCCGCCGGAGGAGGCGGUAGGGGCGGCGCGGCGGGGCUGGCCGGGUGCAGCCGUUGGUGCCGCGAGCGGCAGGUGGAGGCAGGUGCCAAGUGGAGCUGCAGUGUGAUUGACGUUGCGCGGUGCUUCAUCUUUAUUUCAUGCGACGAGGAGGUGGGAGGGUGGAGAUUGCUUGAAGUGCCUGGCUAGAGACAGAACGUGAUUUAUCACUGUUCAUUUGUCUGGAGGGUUACGCGGCCCAUAUAUAAUUCAGAAAAAUGUUUAAAAAAUAAGGAUCUGUUGUCUUUAAAAUCACUUGGCACUCAAGUCUGUUGGCUUAAUCUAAUUUCUGUGAUACAUAAAUGCACUGCUGUGCAUUUCAUUUUUAUUCUGUGUGUACAGUAUAAACAAUAUGCUUAAAAGGAACCGAGAAAGUGUGUAUAAAUAGUACUGAUAAAACCAAGCCCUAAACAAUCUCAGAGUAGUGUGAUUUUUUCCAUGCUUAGGCUGAAAGAUGUGAAGUUGCACCUGGAUUUAGCUUUAUCAGUUUUCCCAAGAUCACAUUUAAUAUGAAUGUUCUUGUCACGUGGUCUGCAAGUGGACUUUUUCUGAUUCAAGCCUGCUGCUGAUGCUCUACAGCUAAAUUAUCAGAGAGCAGAAAGGGACGCCUCUGUCUUCUGCCUUGCUGUGGGGAAAUCAUUUUAUUUGUGUGAACUGGUGUAGAUGAGACCCUGAUGGUUUGGUGUUUGCUAUCCUAUGUCUAUGCACUUCCCUUUCUCGCUUUAAUGUUCUGCCCAUGCCUGCUGGAGAUCAUCAUAACACCAUGUUUGGGGUAGGUUGGCAUGGUGUGGUUCCACAUGAGGGGCUGGAAAUGUUAUCAUGAAAUCAUAGACUAUCCCAAGUUGGAAGGAGCCCAUGAGGAUCACUGAGUCCAACUCCCGAAGAAGAGAGUGGGGAUGUUACAAGACAGUGCCUAGCAUAUGUAGAGGGUUUCCGUAAUUUACAGACAAACCCCUUCCCCUCUUGCCCAGUGUAAAAAACAACUGCAGGCAGAAGCUCCAUAUAUUCAUAUACUGCCUUGUUCUCUACGGACUUAGGAAAUCCAAUUCUCCAAAAGGUUUUCAGAGGAGGAAUUUCUUUUUUCCUGGCUGCUGCUGGCUGUGCAAUGACCUGAGUGAGUCUAGAUCUAUUCUUCAUCUGGCCCCUACUCCAGUUGUCCUUUGGCUGCUUUGCUUUCUCUUCUCCAUUUUUAGUUCAUUUCCAUAAUGCAUUUCUUGCUCUUUUCUGCUCCAUGGCAUAUUUUCUUCCUGAGGAAGCAGCGUAUUCUGUACGCCGGAUGUUGUCUGCAUGCUCCUGUUGGCGUGAAGCCCUCUGUCCCCUUGAGCUCUGCUGGGGAGGGGCACAUCAUUUGUGUGUGCAGAUGGAAAUAUUUUUAUUGCUGAUUUCUUUUUUUUUGGUGCUGCAUUAGAUAUCAUCCCUCACGUGUCCUUGAGCCUUCAGAAGAGAUAUGGGGACUGACUGCUUCUGAUGCACUGAUUUUAUAGCAUCAUUUAUUUUCCCUGAAUUACCUCUGCCUGGUCCUGUAACACCGCAGCUGGCACUGCAAUUCUCAUAUCCAUCUCCUGUGUUAUAAGUGAUACUCUUUACUUUGUGCAGUACAAUGAGGUCUUAGGGUCAUCACUGGAAAUUCCUUAGUGCUUUACUGAUUGAUGUAGAUCAAAAAGAUAAUCUCCCACUCUGGUAUUUUUUUUCUUUGGAGCUGUCUUUGAAGGUUGCACAUUCUUCUGCUGUGCUUCCUUUGUGAAAGUGACUUCUUUUUGCUCUCUCUUACCUUCUUGUCAAUUUCCUUUCUUCCUUCCCUUUGUUUCAAUCUCAUGUUUUCUAUUUUGUUUGUUUAGUUUUGUUUCUUUAUGUGAGAGAAACACUCCUGAGUUUAAGAGUCUAUUUGGGCGUAACUGGGGAGUUUUCUUAGAAAUGCCGUGUAAAUGAAGAGCUCAGUUGUUUGUCCCUUUAGCUCUUCAAGUUUUCUCCCUCAGCAGUGGAAGCAUUUCACCAUCCAGCCUGCAGCUUUCAUUGCCAUUUGACUGUCUCUCACAACAAAGUUUGCUUUGUCAUAUCUAUGACAAUCUUUGCUGCACGAUUUUUAUGUCUGAACCUAUUAACAUUUCCCUUUUCCAUCAUAAAAUAUUCUCCCUUCAGAAAACCUCCAUGCAAGUGUCCUCCUCUUCCCCAGCAUUUGACUAUAAAAUUGAAACAGGUUUAGAUCAGCAGCAGCACCCAGACUCCUCUACACCAGUGGAUCCAAGAGCCCCUUCUUCAGCUGCUGGACGCACUGAAGACCAACAUAUGGGUAAAAAGAGGCAAGAGGGGGAGUUUUGAUGUUAAACAGGAAUUGCUUACUUCAUGUAUGGAGACGGGGAUUAAGGACAAGGGGAAUAAAAGGUUGUUUGGUAACAGAAGUGGUCUUGUAUUUCUGAAAAAAAAUUGGAUUUGAUGUCAUCCAGAGUUCAAUUGAGAAAAUGUAGCUCGGAAUAAAUAUGGCUUUGUUUUUCAGUAGCAAAGAUUUCUUUGUAUCUGGUAUUAAUGUCUUUUCUACCUUGUUACUGGAGUGCAGCAGCAGUGAGGGCCUGAUGUUUCUGGCUCACCUUCACAAUUGGACUGCAGUGUAUUUCUGCUUUUGAGAGACAGUGGGCAUGAGGCAAUUUUGGUAUUGAACAGUUAUCGUGUAAGCAACGUGCUACCUCUAUUUGUCAGUUUGUUUUUUGCUCAAGGAGCAAAGAGGAGCUGACCUGUGAGAUUUGGGUCCUCGACUGGAGGUUCUUAUGUAAACUUGGCAUAGGCUGCUCCUGUUUCAGGGGACCCAUCUUUUUCUUCACCACAGAGAUAUAUAGAUGCUAGAACUGUGCUUGCAUGAAGCCAUGGAAUUGUAAUUGAGUUUCCUAAUUGCACUCAGUGUAAAUUUUGUAUGAAGUGGCCUUGCAUGCAGGAAGAUCUUUCUCAUUCAUCCAGUUAUGCUGACACAGUUGAUGUAGGCUGGUUUGUUUAGCAAUAGGGAUCAGCAUAGAAGUUUAAGGACCGAUAUAUUAGUUUAGCAAAAGGAAUCAAUGGGUAGUAAUUCUAAAACCUUCCAUUUCAACUUUGCUUCAUGCAAAGUUUGCUUCGUGUUUUCUCUUAAUUCUGCUGCACAAGAAGCACUAUAGUCAUAAUAGACUACUUUGCAUCUCACCAGGGGCAAGGACGUUUUCCUCAGAUUUUCACAUAUAUUGUUUUGGAAGUUGCUCAUUGUGGCCUAACAAGCAAUGGAGAUCUGCCAAGUUGGGGAAAAACAGCUAAGGGCAGCCAAAAGUCUCAGUGAUAAAGCUGAUGAUGGAAAAGUGAGGAUAAAGUAAGCGAGUGUACGACCACCCUAAAUGCAACCACACAUGCCCAGAGGGACAUUAGCGUAUAUUAAUGAGUUCUUGGAAAAGAAUGAAUAUGUGUGCCAAUGUACUGCAUGUGUAUGUUUAACUGUAGAACCUGAACUCUGAGAGCGCGUGCUUGUUUGUCGUGUCUUCCGAUACGUAUCACGAGGAAUAAAGGAAUGCUGCUUUCUAACACCACAUUGGAGAUAGAGGGUUUCCCUCCUGGAUUUCGGAUGACACAGUCAUCAGUAGAUCAUUUUGUUCCUAAAGAUUCCUUUAUGGACCCUUGUGGCUACCACUGAAAAAUAAGCAGAUUCUGAAGCUUUGCUCUUCCCCUUUUAGGGCUUCUUGUCUUCCAAGCAGUGUAAAAUACUGUAGCAGCUGCAAAAAUACCCUAAAGAAAUUUGAAGCCUCCUUGCUUUGUCCUUUUGGCCCAGGGAAGGCUCUCCUUAGUUUGGGCUCUUCUAAAGAGGAAUGCUUUCCAUUGUCGGUAACUUGGAUGUGAUGGGUCUUGUGUUUGCUUCUGGCAAGCCGAUAAUGGAAUUUAGGUAGAGGAUGACAGCAGUCCAUCGCAUUGGGCAGUCAUUUGAUGAGCCUCUGAUGGACUGGAAAUGGGUUAGCUGUGAAUUGCUUCAUGUCUUAGUUUGCUGUUGCUUCCUUUCCCCUCUCCCAGUUGACUCCCUGUAAAGUAAAUAGAUUGGAGCAUUAAAGGUUUGUGAAUUGAAAUCCCUCUGUACUGGCAAGAAUAAUUUUCAGUGCUUGUUCUUUGGAUAAAUGAGCCUUUCACCUGAGAAGGUCUUCCAGAAGGGUGUGUGACACUAGAUUCGUGACCUCUUUUUUAUUUUGCACUGACUUACCGUAUCACUGGGGGUUGGAACUUGAUCCUUGAGGUCCCUUCCAACCCAAGCCAUUCUGUGAUUCUGCAAUCAUAAGCUCACUCGUGUGAGCCAAACCAGACUCAGGCAGUAUUAAUUGCGUUGUGCAUGUAUUUCAAUUUUGUUGUCAACUACCCAUAUUGUCUUCGUCAUAAUUCACAGUGGAUGGGAGGAGUGGAGGGAGGGGAGAGGAGGAGGAAUGUAAAAUAAAAAGGUGCACAGAAAUUAAUGUGCUGCGUAAUUUCCUCUUUUAGAAAGAUGGAGAGAAACACCUGGGUAAGUAGGUUAGCAGACCUCCACACACAGAUGAAAUACUGUCCUUUCUAACAGACUCGCUGGAAUCACGCUGAGGCAGUCACUUAUUCAGCACUAAAAGUAUAUGACCAAAUUCAUUUUGAGGAGACAUGAGGCGGUUUCUUUGUGUGUAUUUUUACUGCCUACAGCUAAGUUAGGACCCUUGGUGCUUAUCGCUUUUUAAUGAUUUGUUCUUACCCCUGUUCCUUGCUUCUGGCUGUUUGUUCUUUACUACGUAGGUUAUUACCCAUGUUCACACAGAGACCUGAGAAUUAAUAGAAAAUGGAGACUGGAGUUGCUUUCCCCUUCCCUUUUCCUGUAAGGUUAUCUGGGACGGUUUCACACACGUUUAUAUAAGGCUUCACGGCUUCUUGGCUUCUGACUGUGUUACCACUGUGUAUAAAACUUCAGCCAGGAAGCUAGCAGCUUAUUGGAGUAAGUUUUUAAAAUUAAUAGAGCAUCAUCUGUUAAUGCAGGC